UCCUGGCUCAGGAUGAACGCUAGCGGCAGGCUUAACACAUUGCAAGUCGAGGGGUAGGUUCUUCGGAACCAGAGACCGGCGCACGGGUGCGUAACGCGUAUGCAAUCUACCUUUCACAGAGGGAUAGCCCAGAGAAAUUUGGAUUAAUACCUCAUAGUAUAUUGGUCUCGCAUGAGAUCAUUAUUAAAGAUUUAUCGGUGAAAGAUGAGCAUGCGUCCCAUUAGUUAGUUGGUAAGGUAACGGCUUACCAAGACUACGAUGGGUAGGGGUCCUGAGAGGGAGAUCCCCCACACUGGUACUGAGACACGGACCAGACUC
rnacentral:rRNA from 1 species